GAUGAACGCUGGCGGCGUGCCUAAUACAUGCAAGUCGAGCGAACAGACGAGGAGCUUGCUCCUCUGACGUUAGCGGCUGACGGGUGAGUAACAUGUGGAUAACCUACCUAUAAGACUGGGAUAACUUCGGGAAACCGGAGCUAAUACCGGAUAAUAUAUUGAACCGCAUGGUUCAAUAGUGAAAGACGGUUUUGCUGUUUCUUAUAGAUGGAUCCGAGCUGAAUUAUCUAGUUGGUAAGGUAACGGCUUACCAAGGCGACGAUGCGUAGCCGACAUGAGAGGGAGAUCGGCCACACUGGAAAUGAGACACGAUCAAGACUCCUACGAGAGGCAGCAGUAGGGAAUCUGCCGCAAUGGGCGAAAGCCUAACGGAGCAACGCCGCGUGAGUGAUGAAGGUCUUCGGAUCGUAAAACUCUGUUAUUAGGGAAGAACAAAUGUGUAAGUAACUAUGCACGUCUUGACGGUACCUAAUCAGAAAGCCACGGCUAACUACGUG
rnacentral:rRNA from 1 species